rnacentral:rRNA from 1 species
AGUGAACGCUGGCGGUAGGCCUAACACAUGCAAGUCGAACGGCAGCACAGGAGAGCUUGCUCUCUGGGUGGCGAGUGGCGGACGGGUGAGGAGUACAUCGGAAUCUACUCUGUCGUGGGGGAUAACGUAGGGAAACUUACGCUAAUACCGCAUACGACCUACGGGUGAAAGCAGGGGACCUUCGGGCCUUGCGCGAUUGAAUGAGCCGAUGUCGGAUUAGCUAGUUGGCGGGGUAAAGGCCCACCAAGGCGACGAUCCGUAGCUGGUCUGGGGGGAUGACCAGCCACACUGGAACUGAGACACGGUCCAGAAUCCUACGGGAGGCAGCAGUGGGGAAUAUUGGACAAUGGGCGCAAGCCUGAUCCAGCCAUACCGCGUGGGUGAAGAAGGCCUUCGGGUUGUAAAGCCCUUUUGUUGGGAAAGAAAUCCAGCUGGCUAAUACCCGGUUGGGAUGACGGUACCCAAAGAAUAAGCACCGGCUAACUUCGUGCCAGCCGCCGCAGUAA